UACAGAGGGGGCGAGCGUUAUUCGGAAUUAUUGGGCGUAAAGGGCGCGUAGGCGGCCCUUCAAGUGACGGGUGAAAUCCCUCGGCUUAACCGAGGAACUGCCUUUGAUACUGGAGAGCUUGAGUCCGGGAGAGGUGAGUGGAACUCCGAGUGUAGAGGUGAAAUUCGUAGAUAUUCGGAAGAACACCAGUGGCGAAGGCGGCUCACUGGCCCGGUACUGACGCUGAUGUGCGAAAGCGUGGGGGAGCAAACAGG
rnacentral:rRNA from 1 species